rnacentral:misc_RNA from 1 species
UUUCCGUAGGCGAACCUGCGGAAGGAUCAUUCAUAAUAAAGUGUUUUAUGGCACUUUUUAAAAAUCCAUAUCCACCUUGUGUGCAAUGUUAGAUCUCGUCAAUCUUGGCGAGAUUUUUAUACAUCAACUCAUUCUUUAACUAAUUUGUCUGAAAAAUAUUAUGAAUACUUAAUUCAAAAUACAACUUUCAACAACGGAUCUCUUGGCUCUC